rnacentral:lncRNA from 1 species
AUGUGGUCCCAACUAGUACAACAGGUUUUUCCAUCUCACUGUGACUGCAGCAGCAGCAAGAGCAGCACAUGGAUCGGGCAGGAAAGCCGUGACUUCCAGAGCAAGCGAAAGGCGGACUCAGGACUCAGAGAAAGCCGGGACCUGCUUGUACUCGUUGAUGUUAGGAUGAGACACGGAUACAACAGUCAGGAUCAAGAUGGGGAAAGACCACACCAUGAGAUCUCAGCUCACUUUAAGCCACUCUGCCCCUCCUUCUGCUGGCAGCCACAUUCAACUACCGAUAAGAUGUCCCCAUUGCCACUGGAUGCAGCAAGUGAAGCUUGGGGAUUUAAUUUAGAGCUACCCCUGGUGAGUGGUAGCAAUGAACGCCUGCUGGGAUUGCCUGUGCACUUACUUGGAGGCUCUCUGCCUCUUGGAGGUCAUCGUUCCCUCACCAGCAGCAGAGCUUGCUAAGCCCCCUUUGGAGAGGGCAGGGGUAGUAGACCCUCAAACUCAGCAUCAGUUAUGGAGGUUCUGCACACGUGCCACCCAGCUUUUGAGAAUUAACUGCCCGACUUGUAAAUUGAAGCAUCUAGGAAGAGGUGUGGACUUCGUAGUAGAGUCCUCUUCAUGACACAAAGCAAUCUCACAGGCAGCAGAACCACCAGGCACAGUGCUGUCUGCAUAGAAUAUAUCCUUACUAUGACAGCCUCUCUCCUCUGUCUUCACCCUCCCAAUUAAAGCAAGAAUAAGUACAACUAAGCCCACCUCUUUAGACUUGCAGAUGACUGUAUCAGGCACUUGACAUUGAGAAACAAGCUUGGCCAGGGUUCACACUAGCACUUUUCAUUGGCAUUACUUUGGUGGAAGUGCAUGCUGCAUUAACUUUGUUUAGGAAAGGGAAAGAGUUUCAGAGUAACUGCAUCACCGACUUCCUCUCACCUAAUCUCCCGAUAAGCCAUAUUUGGUUUCCUUCCCACAUAGAAAACUCUACACGGAGCUGUUGCCCCUCCCUGGGUCCCACUCCCCCUCCCCCCACCACCACCGGCAUCCUGAACAAACCUGUCCAGUAUACCUCAGCCACCUACCUACCGUAUGCAAAGUCAGAAAAGCAAGUGUGUAUGUGGAUACUGUCUUUAGCAAACGUCUGCUGUGCUGUACCUUUCCAGAUGUUGGGGAAUAGCCAGAGAGUCCACACAAACAUUGCUGAAGCUAGAUCAGGUCUCUUGUGAGGGAAAGUCAUCUUCACUCGCAUGCCCUGGUUGACUUGGAUCUUAUUAUUUACUUGGUGUUCUUUGUCCCAGAUAAAAAAGGAUUGACUGUAGCAUGUCAUGCAGAAAUAGGUCCCCACCAGAGGUGCUUGCUAGUGUCUGGUGGAACAGGGCAGAGCAGAGUUCUGCAAUAAUCCUGGGACCAGCCACAUUGGGUUUGAAAGGUUCUGAUGAUCUCCUUGGCCAAAGAAAGGCAGACCCCU